AUCAUAUGUACAUCCUUUGAAAAAUAAUGUCAAUAAUCAAUUCUAUCACGAAGUUUUAAAAUGGACAUGCAUUCUUGGUGGUUUAAAGUGCAAAGAACAUAUUAAUGGAAUAUUAAACUGGCAUUUUGAACAUCCUACACAAAACAAACUUUUGACAAGUUGGCGGAAAUGGAUAUAUUGCCAGGGAUUAAUGUUAGAACUUGUUGAAGAUUCCGCUUUGUGGGAAAUAAUGUUAUAUACAUACGGCACAGGAAAAAAGGAAUUCUUUUUCGAAUUCUUAUCGUGCUUUAGAGAAUUCAAGAAUCUACGUUACUUUCUCCGUUUUCUUGAUCGUAACUCUUUACCACAAAGUAUCGGAGAUGAAACGAACUUUCCUACUAUAUUAAUAUAUUUUACAAUAUUGUUACUUCGCAUUUAAAAUAUAUACAAUUCGCGCUGUCGAAUAUAAUAAUCGAACUUGGACAGAGAAUAAAAAUAAGAAACGUGAAUAUUCUAGCAAUAAUAAAUUGUAUUAUUAACAACAUAUAUGUAGCCAACGAUCUGUCAUUGAUUAGUAACAAACUGAAUUUAUGGAAUCUGUUGGAUACACAUUACCUGGAACCAUUUCAUGUGAAUGCCAUUAUAAAAAAAGUUAAACAUCGUCGUAGUUUUCUAGUUAUAAUGCAAAAUACACUUCGUUUGAGUCCUCGGUAUGUUUUUAAUUAUAAACGCAUGAGUAUAUUAGCUCUUCUUUGAAGAUAGUGUACGUUUUAAUUUUUUAUUAAAAUUAUUUACACAAUAAUUUUAAUAGAAGUCUACCGAUUUGUUGGGUCCAAAUCUUGUGUUUGUUUUGUUUAAAUAAGAUUUAUUGUAUGAUAACAAAAAAGACAAAAAAGGGUAAAUUUGAUAUCAUGCAAUAUCAUUCAAUGUUAAGUAAGAUUGUAUGUUAAUAAAUCAACAGUAUUUCUAAAAUGUUAGUGAUAAGUUAAAGUCUACUAUGUUUGUUCUACACAAAAAUGUGUAUUCAAUUUAGCUAGAAUAAAGAAUAGUACUUAUACUAAAAGUUAUUACUUUCGUACUUUUAACUUGUCCUUAGUUUUUUAUACUAUAUAUGCAAGUGUGAAAAAAGUUCGUUGUUAACGAACACAUUUAUAUGCAUGCAUUUGCGUCUUCCAUUAUUUGUCCUGCGACUAAUGUAGAACAACGACCUUUAAUGUAUAUUACAAUCGCAAUUGUUUCCUAGAAGCACUAUCAGUUAAAAGUGGAAAUAUGAUUACAUUACUCCGAGUAAGUCACUAAUAGUACAU